CCAAAAUAAUUCAUAAAUCAAAUAAAGAUAUUUGGAAAAUAGAAGGGAAGAGAAAGUAUUAAAAUAUCGGACCAGAAAAGGCCCAAAAGAUGGCCUAAGGCAAGGUUUAAUGCGGGAUGGGCCAUAAGGCCCAAACCCUUCAUAAUCGGCCAACACGAGAUAUCAAGAAGAAGAAAAGAUUGGUGUCUGCCUACUACCAUUAUUCCAGAGGCCACGUGUGUUGAUGAAGUAAAGGGCAAUUAUCAAAGUGGCAUCGGUAACCACAUGGAAAUAUUUUGGGAAUAUGAACCUGCAGCAUCUCAAGUCAUAGCAUUAAAUCAUUUUUUACUAACACACAAAAAUGGAAUCAGUCGAUCCUUUGCUCACAGCAAUAAAAACCAGUAUAAUUCUUUCUUUCCUCAAACCUAUCUCUCUUUUUCGUUUUAAAUAUGUUCACUAAUUUUUCACUGAAAAGAAAGAAAAUAAAAGGUGAAAAGGCGAUGAACACCACCCUUCAGUGCUCAUCCUCAUCCAACCCCAGAUUCUUCUAAUAGAAGCCACGACAUUUAAACCUCCUAGAUGAAAACGAACACCAUAAACGAACACCAUACUACCCUAGAUGAAUCCUCGACUCCUCCUCCCUUUUUCGUCUUCUCUUCUUUCCGUCGCCGUUAUUGUUGUGUUGACCCCUUUGGAUAAAUCGUGGUUUUAGCUCAAGUUUGUUGAGCUUCGAUGUGAAAUCUCAACAAACUCCAAAAAGGAAGAACAGAGCUUUAGUAAGGUUUUUGACUCUAUUUCUGUAGAGUAACGAUGCUCUAGGAAGGAGUUUCAGCUCAGUUCCAAAUGAGCUUCAAUGCGAAUGCUCAAAGAAACUUUUAGGGAUGAGCUUUAUGUGGGUGGUCCCUAUUCCAGGUGUUGUGAAAUGAGUUGGCGUCGAAUGAAUAGCAUCAAUCCGUUAGAGAAGGAUUUUGCCCCAGAUAUUGUGGGGACCAAUCUUCAUACAGGUUGGCUAGUGGAGAAAAACGUCUUCUCUUGAGCCUCUUUCUUGUGGUCCCCAUUUUGGUAUUAUCUUUAACUUUCACCACCGUAAAACAAAUGUGAACCGACUGCGUAGACCUCAAUAACCACUGUGCCAUUUAGAUUUAAUUAUGACAUGCUUCUAAUCCUUGACUUUAAAGUAUCGUUGGGUGAUUAAGGACAUUUUUACGAUGCUUUGGUUGGAUUGAUUUUAUGCAGGUGUGAAUAUAAUAGCUGUUGUUCUGCAGUUGGUGUAGGUCUCACUUUUUGCAGCUCAUGGUAGCUUAUGCAGUUUGGAUUCCGUGGUGUCUGGUUUUGGUAGCUUGGAUCGCUACUGUAUCAUGUGGGACGCUGCCUUUCGCAAACUGUCAUUGGAUUCAUGUUUUGAUCUUAACGGUUAAUCAACGGAUGUGCAGCAUGAAGCGUUGCAGUUUAGUGCAUUGGGAUGCUAUCAUUUCAACUCACCAUAGCAUUGCCAAUCCUGUGCUCAAUAUCACCAACAAUGAUAGCAGGCGAUAAUGCGACAUUCAUACAGCUAGGUUAACGAUGUAGUGGAUUUCACUAAUGUUUGAAUUACCAACAGCGGCUCGGUGUUGUGACUUCGCUCGCAGCUUUGGGUUCUUUUCACUGAUGUGCCACUGCUUAGUUUUGUGCAUGCUGUUGUUUGGUUGUUAUUCUUGGUCAUGGCUUGGGUGGUGAUGUAGCCUGGAUUAUGCUGCAAGUCUAUGACUUGGAUGGUGAUGAUAUUUAACUCCAUAGCCAUUUGAGCUGUUAUGAAUUUGAUUCAACCUCACUGACUUUGCUUUGUCUACCGGACCUUACCACGAUUGCUUUUCAGUGAUGUACUUUGUAAUCUUGUGAAAACUUGUGAUACAGGUACAUGAAACUUUGAUACAGGAUUUUCGAGUCUUGGCUUUCGUUUUAAUGAGGUGAUAUGUAUUGUCCCAACGACAAUGUAAUUGACUUACAUUUGUAAUGUGCCGAUGAGUCUGGUUUUGGCUUUGUUUUGUCAACCAUUGUAGCACUCACUGUAAAGUUUACCAAUUCUUGUUUAAUUAGGUAAAGGAGCUCAGACAACACACUUCUGUGCUGGUUCUAGCAUUUCUCACUGUGGUUCGUGUGAUGUGAUCUUCUGAUCAUGCAGGUUUGUGCCUGCUGGACAAAGCAAAGUACAGCAUGGUGGCCGAAUUGCUGUGGCUCGUAAAUUCGAAACACAACUCUGUUGUUGCAGGAAAAUCAGUUUUGAAUACCAUGAGUUUGUAAUAACCAUGUACAUUUUUAAGCUUUGUCUUCAAUUGUAGGUUCAGUCUAGGUGUAUGCUCCGCUCCAUUCAUGAUGAUUGUAGUGUUCUUGGCUUUUAUUUCACUUAUGUGAUAGGCUUUUGGAUUGUGCAGGUUGCGGUAUGCUUAUCGGGACAUGUCUAGUAAAUUCUUGGAAUUACUUGAAGAAGAGAGUGCAAUGAGUUGUAUUGUUUAGCUGUUAUGCUUUUCCAAUGCUUGAAUAAUUUCUCUUGUAAUGCCAACAUGUCCUUAGAUCAUAGGCUAGGACCUUUGUAAACCAUAAAGUUUAUCAAUACAAUUGUAAAUUUAUGCCUUUAUCAAUAGAACCUGCCAAUCUAUUCCAAUUCUCA